CCUACGGGUGGCUGCAGUGAGGAAUAUUGGUCAAUGGACGCAAGUCUGAACCAGCCAUGCCGCGUGCAGGAAGACUGCUCUAUGAGUUGUAAACUGCUUUUGUACGAGGGUAAACGCAGAUACGCGUAUCUGUCUGAAAGUAUCGUACGAAUAAGGAUCGGCUAACUCCGUUCCAGCAGCCGCGGUAAUACGGAGGAUUCAAACGGUAUCCGGAUUUUUUGGGUUUAAAGGGUGCGUAGGCGGUCGGAUAAGUUAGGGGUGAAAUCCCGAGGCUCAACUUCGGCAUUGCCUCUGAUACUGGUCGGCUAGAGAGUACGUGCGGUAGGCGGAAUGUAUGGUGUAGCGGUGAAAUGCUUAGAGAUCAUACAGAACACCGAUUGCGAAGGCAGCUUACCAGGCUACUUCUGACGUUGAGGCACGAAAGCGUGGGUGGCGAACAGGAUUAGAUACCCGAGUAGUC
rnacentral:rRNA from 1 species